AUUCCAUUCAAUCUAUCUAAACGCACGUCAAUUUACGGUCAUAAAAAGGCAAAAUAUUUUCGUGUUUUACAAGCAAAAAGUGUUUUAUUUAUUUUUUGUGAAUGCCACAAAAUUUCCUAAAAAGUAAAAAUAAAUUCUAAAAGAAAGAAAAAGCGAAAAAUAUUACAUAAAUUUUCAUAACUAAGAUUUAAUAGUCUUCAUGAGUACAAGCAUACGCCAGCAAAAUUUACAAAGUCUAAAAAAUAUAGUAAAAGACCAUAAAAAGAAGAAAUAAAUGGAGAUUUAAAAUAAAAGUACUUUUUGUGUAAACAAAAAAAAAUAAUAUCAAAGAAAGAGGAACUAAAUACUAAAAAGACCAACUCAAGUAAUGGAUAUUUAGAGCCACUAAAAGUUAAAUUAAAUUUAUAAACCAAACACGUAGAGUUUUAUUUAUUUCUGCCAUCCUUCAAACAGAAUGUUGUUCUCUAUUAAAGGCUUGUUAGUGGAGAAAAAAAAUAAAAUCAAGAAAAAAAUCUUCCAAAAAGAUAUAAUAUAACUGCAGGCAACUAAAAAAUCUAAAGAACGAUCUACAUUAUAAGAUUUUCUGCAGCUCUCAAGACGCAACAAAAGCCAAACAAAUAUUCCCUGAAGCAAAAAUAAAGUUUUACCUACUAACUACAAUCAUACCUUGUAUUUUCAACUCCAGGGUAUAUAACUACUAAUAUAUAUAUGUAUUUCUAUCUUUGGCAGCUUAUUGAUUUCUUUACUUCAUUAUAUACACAAUCAUUAAUAUUUUGGCAAAAUUUCAAUAUUUUAAUACAAUUUAAGGCAGAUAAGGAGACAGCGAUAAAUUUAGCAACCUGGCCAACGCCAAGACAAGAAUAAUAACUAUUUAAAUACUUUUAAGUAUAAUAGUUUCAAAAAAUAGAAAAAAAGCCCAUGAAAAUAGCCAUUUGAAAAAAACUGACAGCUACUCCAACUAAACACAAACUGAAGUAAUCAAAAACAUAUCAACAAAUUUAAUUUAUCAAGUCAAACAAUCGGCUGGAAAUUAAAACAAAACUAAGCAGAAGCGAAAUAUACAACAAAUACACACUAUUUUAAUGAUCACUCUAUUCAUUUUGCAAAGCCAAUAACAGAGGAAUAAACCAAGCAAUAAACCAACUGCAAGCAACAACAGCAUCCGCCAAAAUAAAAAAAAAAAACAGCAACUGCAACAACCCAGUGAUAAACGCCUCUGAUUAUUGUCCUAUAGACAAAAUCACACAAUUAAUCUCAAACAAUCACUCGUACUUAAACAGUUUAACAUUUAAAGGAAAAUAGUUCUACCUUUCAUAGUGGUUUUAAUAAACUGUUAUAUUUGCUCAACUGUGUUGCUAGGUGCUGUGUAUGAGUGAGUAGUUUUUUGGUUAAAUGUCUGUGGUUGAAUUAAAUUAAUCUGAAUUUUCGAUGUGGAAUUUCAUUACCAUCAGCUUAAACUCCGGGACAUCCAUGAACGCCGAUGGUUUGGGUUACAUUUCUAUUAUACUUGACCUCGGUUUCGGGAAACCAUAAAUGGAAGGAAAAUUUGCAUUAAUCUCUACAGAAACUGAAUAAAUUUAACUUCCUUAUAUAUGUAUAUAUUUUUUUCUUUGCAGGAAUCAAUGAACAUUUCGAUUAUAAAAUAAUUGCUUGUUAAUUGUGACAAACUCCCGUAGUUUGUGAUUGGUAUAUUUGUUGUUCCCAUUAGAUGACCAAACAAAUUAUAUAGCAAAUGCAUAUUUCAGGUUAGAAUUGUAGUUGGAAUAUGGUUUCAAG